AUGAAGCCCUUCGGGGUGUAAAGCUCUUCGGCAGGGACGAUAAUGACGGUACCUGCAGAAGCAGCUGCGGCUAACUACGUGCCAGCAGCCGCGGUAAUACGUAGGCAGCGAGCGUUGUUCGGAGUUACUGGGCGUAAAGGGUGCGUAGGCGGCCUUUUAAGUUUGGUGUGAAAUCUCCCGGCUCAACUGGGAGGGUGCGCCGGAUACUGAAAGGCUAGAGUGCGGGAGAGGAAAGUGGAAUUCCUGGUGUAGCGGUGAAAUGCGUAGAUAUCAGGAGGAACACCGGUGGUGUAAACGGCUUUCUGGACCGUAACUGACGCUGAGGCACGAAAGCGUGGGGAGCAAACAGGAUUAGAUACCCUGGUAGUCCACGCCCUAAACGAUGCACGUUUGGUGUGGGUGAUUCAGUUCAUCCGUGCCGGAGCUAACGCGUUAAACGUGCCGCCUGGGGAGUACAGUCGCAAGGCUGAAACUCAAAGGAAUUGACGGGGGCCCGCACAAGCGGUGGAGCAUGUGGUUCAAUUCGACGCAACGCGAAGAACCUUACCUGGGCUCGAACGGCUGGCUAACGGUCGCUGAAAGGCGGCUACCCCGCAAGGGGGUCCAGUCGAGGUGCUGCAUGGCUGUCGUCAGCUCGUGUCGUGAGAUGUUGGGUUAAGUCCCGCAACGAGCGCAACCCUCGUCCUGUGUUGCCAACCCGAAAGGGCGCACUCGCAGGAGACCGCCAGCGAUAAGUUGGAGGAAGGUGGGGAUGACGUCAAGUCCUCAUGGCCUUUAUGUCCAGGGCUACACACGUGCUACAAUGGCCGGUACAAAGGGCAGCUAACCCGCGAGGGGGAGCCAAUCCCAAAAAACCGGUCUCAGUUCGGAUUGCAGGCUGCAACUCGCCUGCAUGAAGCUGGAAUCGCUAGUAAUGGCAGAUCAGCACGCUGCCGUGAAUACGUUCCCGGGCCUUGUACACACCGCCCGUCACACCAUGGGAGCGGGUUUCACCAGAAGUAGGUAGCCUAACCGCAAGGAGGGCGCUUACCACGGUGGAUUC
rnacentral:rRNA from 1 species